rnacentral:rRNA from 1 species
UACAGAGGGUGCCAGCGUUGUUCGGAAUUAUUGGGCGUAAAGGGCGCGUAGGCGGCUCUGUGUGUCGGGUGUGAAAUCCCACCUCUUAAAGGUGGAAUUGCAUUCGAAACUACAGAGCUGGAGUUCCGGAGAGGAUGGUGGAAUUCCUGGUGUAGAGGUGAAAGUCGUAGAUAUCAGGAGGAACACCGGUGGCGAAGGCGGCCAUCUGGACGGAUACUGACGCUGAGGCGCGAAAGCGUGGGGAUCAAACAGG